AAUGAACGCUGGCGGCGUGCUUAACACAUGCAAGUCGUGCGCGAAGGUGGCUUCGGCUGCCGGAGAGCGGCGAACGGGUGAGUAACACGUGGGUGAUCUGCCUGGGGGCGGGGAUAACCUGGGGAAACUCGGGCUAAUACCGCAUACGUUGGCGGGUUUACGGACUCGUCAAGAAAGCUGGCCUCUGCUUGCAAGCUAGCGCUCCCAGAGGAGCCCGCGGCUGAUUAGCUAGUUGGUGAGGUAAUGGCUCACCAAGGCGACGAUCAGUAGCCGGCCUGAGAGGGUGAUCGGCCACACUGGGACUGAGACACGGCCCAGACUCCUACGGGAGGCAGCAGUGGGGAAUUUUUCGCAAUGGGCGCAAGCCUGACGAAGCAACGCCGCGUGUAGGAUGAAGGCCUAGCGGUCGUAAACUACUGUCUAGCGGGACGAAAGUA
rnacentral:rRNA from 1 species